rnacentral:rRNA from 1 species
UACGAGGGGGGCGAGCGUUGUUCGGAAUUUAUUGGGCGUAAAGGGGUGCGUAGGCGGUUUGGUAAGUCUUAUGUGAAAUCGUAUGGGCUCAACUCGAUAGAACUCGCAUGAGAAACUGCCGGGCUUGAGUAUGGGAGAGGUGAGUGGAAUUCCUGGUGUAGCGGUGAAAUGCGUAGAGUAUCAAGGAGGAACACCUGUGGCGAAAGCGGCUCAC